GAGAGACGACCCUUGUCAUUGGUGAUGGUGAUCUUGUUCUUCUGUCCGGUGGUCUUGUCCUCAGCAGAAACGUUGAGGAUACCGUUGGCAUCAAUGUCAAAGCAGACUGUGAUCUGAGGGACACCACGAGGAGCUGGAGGGAUUCCGGAGAGCUCAAACUUACCGAGAAGGUUGUUGUCCUUGGUUCUGGCUCUUUCACCUUCGUAGACUUGGAUCAACACGCCAGGCUGGUUGUCCGAGUAAGUGGAGAAGACCUGCUCCUUCUUGGUGGGGAUUGUUGUGUUUCUCUGAAUCAAAGUGGUCAUGACACCACCAGCAGUCUCAAGACCGAGGGAGAGAGGGGUGACAUCAAGCAAGAGAAGGUCUUGAACCUUUUCGUUUCCUUCACCGCUUAGAAUUGCAGCCUGAACAGCUGCACCGUAUGCAACAGCCUCAUCAGGGUUGAUAGACUUGCAGAGCUCCUUGCCAUUGAAGAAAUCUUGGAGAAGCUGUUGAACUUUGGGGAUACGGGUAGAACCACCGACAAGGACAACCUCAUGUACCGAGUUCUUGUCCAUCUUAGCAUCACGGAGACACUUCUCAACAGGCUCCAUACACUUCCUGAAAAGAUCCAUGUUAAGCUCUUCGAAUCUAGCACGGGUAAUUGGAGCAUAGAAGUCAAAUCCUCCUGCCAGAGAGUCAAUCUCGAUGGUCGUUUGUGCGGUGGAAGAAAGAGUUCUCUUUGCUCUCUCGCAAGCUGUUCUCAUCCUCCUUAGAGCUCUAGCGUUACCGGUGAUGUCCUGCUUGUUCUUCCUCUUAAACUCUUGAACAAAGUGGUUAACCAUCCUGUUAUCGAAAUCCUCACCACCAAGAUGAGUAUCUCCAGCAGUAGCCUUGACCUCGAAGAUACCUUCUUCAAUAGUAAGAAGAGAAACAUCAAAAGUACCACCACCAAGAUCAAAGAUCAACACGUUCUUCUCUCCAACGCUGGUUGCCUUCUUGUCGAGACCGUAGGCAAUAGCAGCAGCGGUCGGCUCGUUGAUGAUACGCAGAACAUUCAAACCAGCGAUGACACCAGCAUCCUUUGUAGCUUGACGCUGAGAGUCAUUGAAGUAAGCAGGGACAGUGACCACAGCGUUCUUGAUAGUGGUGCCAAGGUAAGCUUCACUAAUCUCACGCAUCUUAAUGAGAACCAUGGAAGAGAUUUCCUCAGCGGCGAAUCGUUUCUCUUCUCCCUUGUAGGUGACUACAAUCAAUGGCUUGUCAGCAGUUCCAGAAGAGACGAGACCGAAAGGCCAUAACCUCAAGUCGCUUUGGACAGUUGCGUCAUUGUAUCUACGACCAAUCAACCUCUUUGCAUCUGUCACAAUUAGACAAAUAGAACAAAACAAAAUCAAUAAACCGAAACAUAAAACCAAAAAUCAAAAGUUGGACAUUACAAGACCAAAUCAUCAACUUAAACUUAGGUCAGAGAAGAUAAAAACCCUAACUUUAACAAAUUCACAGGAAUAGUUCAUAAUCAGCCUACGGGUAUUCGCAAAACAAGUAAGUAAAAAACGUUUGGGCGAGUAACAUUAUCCUAUGUAAACCCUAAAAAUUCGAACUUUAACAAAUUCACAGGAAUAGUUCAUAAUCAUCCUACGGGUAUUCGCAAAACAAGUAAGUAAAAAACGUUUGGGCGAGUAACAUUAUCCUAUGUAAACCCUAAAAAUUCGAACUUUAACUCAGAUACGAAACACACAUAGAAUCAAGACCAGAGUGUAAUAAGACGAGAGUUUACAUACCAAAGACAGUGUUGGCUGGGUUCGCGGCGACCUGGUUCUUAGCAGCCUCACCGAUCAGCCUCUCGGAGUCGGUGAAAGCAACGUACGAUGGAGUGGUACGGUUACCCUGAUCGUUAGCAAUGAUCUCGACACGGUCGUGUUGCCAUACUCCAACACAAGAGUAGGUGGUACCAAGAUCGAUACCGAUCGCAGGACCUUCACCUUUACCAGCCAUUGUUAUCGCAACAAAAGAGAGAGAACAAAAAAAAGCUUUUAGCUAAGAGACGAAAGAUUCUUUAAGAGCAGAGAAGGGAACUAGGUUUUUUGUUUUGUGAAGAAAAGAGCAUCGGAGCCUUGGAUUAUAUAAGCUCAAGACUUGUGUUUCCAGAAUGUUCGGGUGCUAUGUUAUUCAACGUUAGAUUAGGUUGGAUAUCGAUCCGACGGUCGUGAAGUGAUGGUUACCUUUUUACAAAUCUUAAGUCAGAUAUGUUCCGGGAAUGAAAAGGAAAAAAGUGAUACUGUCCAAAAACGGGAAAGCGCGUGUCUGAAAUUGGAAAACUACUAUAACGUUCAUAUGAAGAUCGGCUUAUCAGUCGCCACGUAAGAUCUUGUGGCAGAUUAACGGGCCUAUAAGAUAUUUUAUAGACGGGCCAUUGUCUUGUGGGCCGUGGUGAGACCUCUCUUUUUCUGAGAACUCAUAGAAAAUUUAUAUAUAUUUAAUAUGUCUUUUUGAAUUACCUCAAUAAUAAGAAGAAAAAAAAAAUCAUUUGAUAAAAAAAGUUAAAAAAAACAACUUUUAAAUUUAAUGACAACAAAUUACUUUCAUAAUAUUUAUAUUCUUUUUUAAUUCUUGUGAAUUACGAUAUUUAUACCAAAAUUUAAUUAAAACAAUAUUUAUUUUAGCAAAAGUAAUGUCAAAAUUUUAGUCCAAAUUAGAGGAAGUAUUUAUAUAUACAAGAUAGUUUUUACUGUGACACAAGACAUAACAACACAUGUUUCCAACUCUUAAAAAACAUUUCUUAACAAAAUCUUACAAAGCCACCAAUAAACAUGCUCUUAGAUUUGCUCAUCCAACUUCAGAUUUCAUGAUAGUUUUAAUGGAAUUCAGAUCUGAAACUGUUGGAUAAAAUUGCAACUACACUAUUUUCAUGAACUUUGAAUUUCUAACGUUUAUGUAUUUGUACAAUAGUAAUCAUGAAACAUUUCAUAUAUUUCGUUCAUUUAUAAGUAUUCGUAGCUGCUCUUUGUUUACCUCAAUCCAAAAGUAAUUUUCUUCACUCGUUAAUAAAAUUUCCUUGUUUGAGUACCCGACUUUCUCAUAUCCAAAAGGAGGAGAAAGAAAAAAAGGUCACUCUACUACCAGAGGAAUCUUAAAUAGGACAAAAAACCAUGAAUAUAAAGUUGGAAAGUCAUACGGAGUAGAGAAUAUAGAAAACUUCUGAUAUUAUCCGUCAUCGUAGCUGGAAUAACCAGGCAUUGUUCAAAAAAGCUAACCAAAUAAAACACAAAAUGGGCUCCUUCAAAUAAGCCCGAGAUUAAAAAAAAGUCUUAAACGAUCCAAAGUAAAGAUAGAGAGAUAAAGAGAGAGAGGUCAUGAUCCAACAGAUUAGUCGACCUCCUCGAUCUUAGGUCCAGCACCGCCUGAAGCAGGAGGAGCAUCAUCGUCCAUUCCACCAGCACCUGGUCCACCGGCCUCACCACCAGCUCCUUGGUACAUCUUGGCGAUGAUUGGGUUGCAGAUGCUCUCCAACUCCUUCAUCUUGUCUUCAAACUCAUCUGCCUCGGCCAACUGGUUACCCUCGAGCCACUGAAUCGCCUGCUCAAUAGAGUCCUCGAUCUUCUUCUUGUCUGCUGCGGGAAGCUUCUCACCAAUCUUCUCGUCCUGGAUGGUGUUCCUCAUGUUGUAAGCGUAGUUCUCAAGAGCGUUCUUGGCUUCAACCUUCUUCUUGUGCUCCUCAUCCUCAGACUUGUACUUCUCUGCCUCUUGAACCAUCUUCUCAAUCUCAUCCUUGGAGAGACGACCCUUGUCAUUGGUGAUGGUAAUCUUGUUCUUCUGUCCGGUGGUCUUGUCCUCAGCAGAAACGUUGAGGAUACCAUUGGCGUCAAUGUCAAAG
rnacentral:lncRNA from 1 species